GGACGCUNAUUUCCAGGUAGCAAUAUUUGGAAGUUGGAGUUUNGAAAGGGUGCGUAACAUGUGGGUAAUCUACNGUUAAGUUUGGGAUAACCCNGAGAAAUCGGGGCUAAUACCGGAUAAGAUUGGCUUGAGGCAUCUUGAGGCAAUUAAAGUUGGGGACCGAAAGGCCUGACGCUUGAUGAUGAGCCCGCAACCUAUCAGCUAGUUGGUGAGGUAACGGCUUACCAAGGCAACAGACGGGUAGCUGGUCUGAGAGGACAACNANCNAUACUGGAACUGAUACACGGUCCAAACACCUNCNGGGGGNANCAGUNNAANAAUUUUUCUCAAUNGGGGAAACCCUUNAAGGGACAACGCCGCGUGGGGGAUGAAGGGCUUCGNUCCGUAAACCCCUGUCAUUUGCGAACAAGUUUUCAUAUUGAACAGAUGUGAGAAUUGAUAUGUAGCGAAAGAGGAAGGGACGGCUAACUCUGUGCCAGCA
rnacentral:rRNA from 1 species